AAGUCCCAAAAAUCCAACUCUUUCUCUGUAGAGACCCUUCCUCAAGCUCUGAGCAAUGACUCAAACUUCCACAAUUAUUCAAAAUUAUUCAGUAAUUCCUAAAAAUGGAGCAGUUCCAAAAUGAUUCAGAUCCCACUGAAAAUGGCUCAGUUGCUUCCAAAAAUAUUGGAAGGGCCAGUAUUGAACCUGUAUGGGACGAGUAAGAACUAGUAUGGAACCAGGAAGGGAUUGGUCCUAGGCCAGUGCAGGAGCAGUAUGCAGCCAGUAGGGCCAGUGUGGGACCAGUAUGACACCAGUAUGGGACCAGUACUUGACCAGUGUUGGACCAAUGUAGGACCAGUCCAGGGCAGUAUGGGACCAGUAGAAACCAAACCAUGCAAAUACAGGAUCUUGAUGGGACUGGGACUGGAACACUGUGGGCCAGUGCAGACAAAUACAGGCCAGUACAAACCAGUGUGAGGCAGUAGAGAACAGCACAAACCAGUAUGGGACCAGUACACACCAGUGAGGGCUAAUAUGACCAGUGUACAACCAGUGUGGACCAGUAUGGGGCCAGCAGAGGCCUACACGAGCCAGUGCUGGAUAAGUAUUGGACCAGUAUGGGAACCAGUAAGGACCUGUAUAGGCCAGUACAGGCAAGUACUGGGCCAGUAUGAGACCACUGUGGGUGAGUACAGCAGCAAUAUGUGAUUAGUUCAAGCUGGGCUGGACCAGUAAGGGACCAGUAAGGGGCUAUUCCAGGACCAGUAUGGAAUCAGUAGGAGCCCAGUGCAGAGCCAGAUGUGCAAGAGGCUGCAGGAGAGAUGUGGGACAGCAGGUGGUUCUUCCAAAGCUGUUUAUUGCAUGGAGCAAGUGACAGCAUUCGUUGGGUCAUGGGGAACAGAGCCACGUCUAAAGCUGCCAGCUCCAGCUUAGAGACAAGCCUGGAGCCACUUCAGCUCUACUUCCAAUGUAUUCUAUGGUUUUCUUUGCUGAGCAUCUUAAUCCACAAAAACCAAUCAGCAUCAUACACAAUACCUUUACUAUUACUACUAUCAUGACUAUGUUAUGUUACAGUUUAAGCUUAAGGUUGUUUUUGUGUUUUCUUGCUGUGGAAAAUUCUUCGACUUUGUUUCUACUUGGGGGAAUACAGCAGCAGUCACUCGGGCUUGGAAAUAAAGUAAAAGGAUUAAGAAUUGUGAACGCCCUUGCUGGAAACUUGGGUAAGGACCAUGAGUUACAACAGAAAAGAAGGUGGCUACUAGAAGAAGAUAAGCCCACUCCAGAGAUGGACUUGACAACAAUUAUCACUCGAUAUGGAUCUAGAUUUCAUCAUCCGGGGUAUGCAUCCCAAUACGAGAUUCCCCAAAAUCGAAUCAAGUAUUCAUCUCUUCUCGAAAAUCCAAUCAACCAUCCAGCAGUAAGGACAAAAUUUCAUGAAUAUAGUGAAAGAGUGGAAAAAGGACAAAGAAGUAUGAAGCAAUGCCCUGUCCAACCAAAACUGUAUAUAAACUGACCCUGCUGGGACUGAAUCUGUGAACAGGGGAGCUCCAGUGCAAUAGAGGCCGGGGCUGGGUUCACCCAGUGCCGACCCCGGGCUCAACACUGACUUUGUUUGUGGCUUUUUCAGUUUUUUGCAAAACUUGUUAAUAAAUUUUAUUUUUGUAAAUUAUUAUUAAAAUUCAUUUUUUGAAUUGGA